GGCUCGGUGGUGAAUGGUCCACACCAGCGUAUCAUGAGGGGCAGCCGAGGAGGAUGCAUGCAGGGGAUGCCUGUUCGAUCCGGGCCCGAGCCA